CGACGGGCGCGUUGCAAGUCAAGGUAAGAAAAAAGCUAGGCUCAGGUGAAAAAAAAGACGAAAGAAGAGAGGCUCAGGUGAAAAAAAAGAGUGGCUCAGAAUUAUCUAUCAGAUUAUCUGCCGCUUAGCUGGCUUCUCCAACUGCAUUGAGCGCGACGGAAGAAAAAGCUAAGGUAGGAAAGAAGAGAGGCUCAGGUGAAAAAAAAGAGUGGCUCAGAAUUAUCUACCAGGUUAUCUGUCAUUUAAUUCCUUCAGAGAGGAAUUCCCAGAUAGCAUUUUUCAUCAUUGCCAUCUGCCAAGAGAGUUGAACCUCGUACUACCUCCUCAGAAGCAGAACGAGCUAACGGCAGCUCAACGUUGGUGUUAACAAAAUUUUGGUAAGUUAAAAAGAAGGAAAAAUCCAACUCACCAUCUAUUUAUUUUUUUUUGUAGAAAACUCGAGACGAGAGAUUUUUCAAAAGGCUAAAAUGCGAGCUCACGGGACUGGAGGUCAAAGGCAGUCCUCUUUUUCCUUCCCUAGAAGCCUGACGUUGCAAUCGUUUACUGGCAGGGGGAUCAUGUACACGUUUUCCGCGGAGCGAUCCUUGUAUAUGUUCUAUGCGG
rnacentral:lncRNA from 1 species